rnacentral:rRNA from 1 species
CUACGGGGGGCUGCAGUGAGGAAUAUUGCACAAUGGGGGGAACCCUGAUGCAGCAACGCCGCGUGGAGGAUGACGCAUUUCGGUGUGUAAACUCCUUUUAUAUGUCAAGAAAAUGACGGUAGCAUAUGAAUAAGCACCGGCUAACUCCGUGCCAGCAGUCGCGGUAAUACGGAGGGUGUAAGCGUUACUCGGAAUCACUGGGCGUAAAGGACGCGUGGGCGGGUUGGAAAGUCAGGUGUGAAAUCCUACGGCUUAACUGUAGAACUGCACUUGAAACUUCUAAUCUAGAGUAUGGGAGGGGGAGAUGGAAUUAGUGGUGUAGGGGUAAAAUCCGUAGAUAUCACUAGGAAUACCUAAAGCGAAGGCGAUCUCCUGGAACAUUACUGACGCUAAGGCGUGAAAGCGUGGGGAGCAAACAGGAUUAGAUACCCCAGUAGUC